rnacentral:rRNA from 1 species
GACGAACGCUGGCGGCGUGCCUAAUACAUGCAAGUAGAACGCUGAAGGAAGGAGCUUGCUCUUUCUGGAUGAGUUGCGAGCGGGUGAGUAACGCGUAGGUAACCUGCCUGGUAGCGGGGGAUAACUAUUGGAAACGAUAGCUAAUACCGCAUAAAAUUGAUUAUUGCAUGAUAGUCAAUUAAAAGGUGCAACUGCACCACUACCAGAUGGACCUGCGUUGUAUUAGCUAGUUGGUGGGGUAACGGCUCACCAAGGCGACGAUACAUAGCCGACCUGAGAGGGUGAUCGGCCACACUGGGACUGAGACACGGCCCAGACUCCUACGGGAGGCAGCAGUAGGGAAUCUUCGGCAAUGGACGGAAGUCUGACCGAGCAACGCCGCGUGAGUGAAGAAGGUUUUCGGAUCGUAAAGCUCUGUUGUAAGAGAAGAACGAGUGUGAGAGUGGAAAGUUCACACUGUGACGGUAUCUUACCAGAAAGGGACGGCUAACUACGUG